rnacentral:tRNA from 1 species
GUCUCUGUAGCGCAAUGGAUAGCGCGUUGGACUUCUAAUCCAAAGAUCGUGGGUUCGAAUCCUUCUUGGGAUG